rnacentral:rRNA from 1 species
GCUACGGGAGGCAGCAGUGGGGGAUAUUGGACCAUGUGGGAACCCCUGAUCCAGCGCCUCCGCGUGAGUGAAGAAGUAUUUCGGUAUGUAAAGCUCUGUCAGCAGGGAAGACAGAAAUGACGGUACCUGACCAAGAAGCCCCGGCUAACUACGUGCCGGCAGCCGCGGGAAUACGUAGGGGGCAAGCGUUAUCCGGAAUUACUGGGUGUAAAGGGAGCGUAGACGGUGAUGCAAGUCUGGAGUGAAAGGCGUGGUCCCAACCCCCGGACGGGUCUGGAGACUGUGUAACUUGAGUGCAGGAGGGGUAAGCGGAAUGCCUAGUGUAGCGGUGAAAUGCGUAGAUAUUAGGAGGAACACCAGUGGCGAAGGCGGCUUACGGGACUGUAACUGACGUUGAGGCUCGAAAGCGUGGGGAGCAAACAGGAUUAGAUACCCGUGUAGUC